UCAAAGAUAUUUGGGAAAAGUAUAUAAAACGAAAAAGGAAAAAGAGGGAAAAGCACGAGGCAAUAAAUCAGUCCUUGAGUUAGAAGAACAAGAAAUCUCUGAAGCCUGGAUCGCCGUUGACCAGUUACUAGUAAUUCCCUCUCUCUCUCACGUUAGAUUUGUGAGCUCUGUCAAAUGGAGAAGGAUCAGAAGGUUGCAUCGGAAGAAGACCCCAAGAUCGAUCUGUUCGAAGACGACGACGAGUUCGAGGAAUUCAACAUCAAUGAAGAGUGGGAUGAGAAGGAAGAAGAGAUAGAUUCAACACCACAACAAUGGGAGGAUGAUUGGGAUGAUGAUGAUGUCAACGAUGAUUUCUCUCUGCAGCUGAAGACGGAACUCGAGAGCAACGCUGAGAAGAGCUAAGUUCAUGUCUCUUUGGCUUCCUUCCUAAUGAACUUCAUGAUCGUAGUGAUUCGGUAUAACCUAGUAUGCCUGUGAUUUGGUGGGUAGCCAAGCCCUUUCAUUAGAGUAUCGAAAACUGCAGUAUUUACCGUUCUUGUUAAAAGAUAAUCGACUUGCAAGAUUUCAGUAACUCGUUAUGUUCGGAAUCAUGAAGAGUGAUGAGCACCACUUAACUAUAUUCUUCUCGCGAUUAUCGUUCUGUAUUUGAAUGUGGUCUGUUUCUUCCCUUUGAAGUUUAUGUAUGAGUCAGUAGUUAAGAAAUUUAUAGGCUUCGACGUCUAACGUGUUCUAGGACGAAGCUUCUAACUGUAUGCAUCACUUUCAUGGCUAUCUCUG
rnacentral:sRNA from 1 species